CCUACGGGAGGCAGCAGUGGGGAAUUUUGGACAAUGGGGGCAACCCUGAUCCAGCAAUGCAGCGUGUGUGAAGAAGGCCUUCGGGUUGUAAAGCACUUUAAGUUGGGAGGAAGGGCGUGUAGGCUAAUAUCCUGCAGCUUUGACGUUACCGACAGAAUAAGCACCGGCUAACUCUGUGCCAGCAGCCGCGGU
rnacentral:rRNA from 1 species